rnacentral:rRNA from 1 species
GACGAACGCUGGCGGCGUGCUUAACACAUGCAAGUCGAACGGAAAGGCCCUGCUUGCAGGGUACUCGAGUGGCGAACGGGUGAGUAACACGUGGGUGAUCUGCCCUGCACUUCGGGAUAAGCCUGGGAAACUGGGUCUAAUACCGGAUAGGAGCCAUUUUUAGUGUGAUGGUUGGAAAGUUUUUUCGGUGUAGGAUGAGCUCGCUGCCUAUCAGCUUGUUGGUGUGGUAAUGGCCUACCAAGGCGGCGACGGGUAGCCGGCCUGAGAGGGUGGACGGCCACAUUGGGACUGAGGUACGGCCCAGACACCUACGGGAGGCAGCAGUGGGGAAUAUUGCACAAUGGGCGCAAGCCUGAUGCAGCGACGCCGCGUGGGGGAUGACGGCCUUCGGGUUGUAAACUCAUUUCGCUAGGGACGAAGCUUUUUGUGACGGUACCUAGAUAAGAAGCACCGGCUAACUACGUG